GCAAGUAGGAGGCAGACCUGACUGCAGCUUUACAGAGGAAGAAGAAGAUUUGCUUCUCUCAGGCACCGACUGAGCUCGUUCUCAUCAUGUGUGUCUACAAAUCGCACUUUGAGGACUCUUUUUUCCCUUUUUCACUCUGGACUUUAAUCGUGUGCUUGGCUUUCAUCGUCAGGACUCCUGUCCAAGGUGAGGUUCUGGUGAUUGGUUCAAAUCUUCCAAUCAUCGCCGCUCCGGGUGAUGAUGUCAUCCUGCCGUGUCACCUGAAGCCCAUGUUCGAUGUCCAGGGUCUGACGGUGGAGUGGUCCAAACCUGACCUGAAGCCCGACCCGUCGGACCGGCUGAGCCGAGUGGAGUACGUUCACCUGUACAGGGACAGGAAGGAGGUCCCCGACAUGAAGAUGGCCUCGUACUUCAGGAGGACGGAGCUGUUCAUGGACGCCAUGAAACACGGGAACAUUUCACUGAAGAUCCUGAACGUGUCGGAGGAAGACAACGGCAGAUACAGAUGCUUCAUCCCCAAGCUGAGGAGCAGAGUGAAAGCUGCAGUAGUUGAACUUGUAGUCGAUCCAAAGUACGCUAAGACCUCUACGACAGAGAGUCCGGUGUAUCCUAGAAACUUCCAAACUCCAGAUCCUCGUGACGUGUCUCCAAGAAAUACAGGUCGGUCCAGGGUCUUUCUGGUUGUCGUAGUUACUGCCUUCGUGUCGGUUGUGGCUGUCACUGCGUAUUUCUCUCACCAUCAAACAAAAUAAGCAUCAAGGCGACGAAGUGACCCAAACCAACCAUAACAAUUCCAGGUGCUCAAAGGAGGGCUGGUGUUAAUGGACCUGAGAGCGUUGGAGAUUUACCUUUUCUGGCUCUGCUGGAUCCUUAUGGUCAGGUUGGAGGUUCAAACCAGCAGCCACAGGAAGGCACUUGGCCCAGCAGCACUGAGACCCAUCAUAAUGUCACUUCUAUAAACGGAGUCUGAUUUAAACUUCGACCUCAGGUGAAGACUCAAGUGUUGUAUCAGAAAAAACACAGCGUGGGAAAUCUGGAAAUCUAACAGUAAAUAUCUCAAACAAGCGACAUGUAGGUUAUUCUUUAAAUUGGAUUCAGAUCCAGUGAAGUAGCCAGUCUAAAACCAAUUGUUAAAUUCUUUUCCAUUCCUUGUCAGCAACAUUAUUUUGAUCUAACCCUAAUAAGUGUUUAAAAACCAACACUGGGGUAAUGCCAAUCAGCAGUCCCCAGGGGAACUGCAGUUCAUCUACUCAAGUCAGCCCUCACAGACUGUCAUGUUAAAUCCCAGCAGAAAUGCACGUCUUCAUAGCCAGCUACAAAAACAGGAUGUGUUCCUCUAUAAUUGUACGCUAGUUGAAUAUUUCUUGCAACUUUUAACUUUUGAGUUCAAAGGCUCAAAGGAGGAUGUGCCAGCAGAGAUGUCCAAGCUUCACCUCUUUGUAGUUGUGAUGUGGUUUGUGGCUCAGCUGCAGGGGAGGGGUGGAGCAGUGGGUUCAGGGUGUGGUGAUCUGGAUGAGAGACUAGAGGCUAGUUUGAAUG